rnacentral:rRNA from 1 species
GGCGGACGGGUGAGUAACGCGUGGGUAACCUGCCUCAUACAGGGGGAUAACAGUUGGAAACGGCUGCUAAUACCGCAUAAGCGCACAGUACCGCAUGGUACGGUGUGAAAAACUCCGGUGGUAUGAGAUGGACCCGCGUCUGAUUAGGUAGUUGGUGGGGUAACGGCCCACCAAGCCGACGAUCAGUAGCCGACCUGAGAGGGUGACCGGCCACAUUGGGACUGAGACACGGCCCAA